GGUUAAGCGACUAAGCGUACACGGUGGAUGCCCUGGCAGUCAGAGGCGAUGAAGGACGUGCUAAUCUGCGAUAAGCGUCGGUAAGGUGAUAUGAACCGUUAUAACCGGCGAUUUCCGAAUGGGGAAACCCAGUGUGUUUCGACACACUAUCAUUAACUGAAUCCAUAGGUUAAUGAGGCGAACCGGGGGAACUGAAACAUCUAAGUACCCCGAGGAAAAGAAAUCAACCGAGAUUCCCCCAGUAGCGGCGAGCGAACGGGGAGCAGCCCAGGGCCUGAAUCAGUGUGUGUGUUAGUGGAAGCGUCUGGAAAGGCGCGCGAUACAGGGUGACAGCCCCGUACACAAAAAUGCACAUGCUGUGAGCUCGAUGAGUAGGGCGGGACACGUGGUAUCCUGUCUGAAUAUGGGGGGACCAUCCUCCAAGGCUAAAUACUCCUGACUGACCGAUAGUGAACCAGUACCGUGAGGGAAAGGCGAAAAGAACCCCGGCGAGGGGAGUGAAAAAGAACCUGAAACCGUGUACGUACAAGCAGUGGGAGCACAGAGCAAUCUGUGUGACUGCGUACCUUUUGUAUAAUGGGUCAGCGACUUAUAUUCUGUAGCAAGGUUAACCGAAUAGGGGAGCCGAAGGGAAACCGAGUCUUAACUGGGCGUUAAGUUGCAGGGUAUAGACCCGAAACCCGGUGAUCUAGCCAUGGGCAGGUUGAAGGUUGGGUAACACUAACUGGAGGACCGAACCGACUAAUGUUGAAAAAUUAGCGGAUGACUUGUGGCUGGGGGUGAAAGGCCAAUCAAACCGGGAGAUAGCUGGUUCUCCCCGAAAGCUAUUUAGGUAGCGCCUCGUGAAUUCAUCUCCGGGGGUAGAGCACUGUUUCGGCAAGGGGGUCAUCCCGACUUACCAACCCGAUGCAAACUGCGAAUACCGGAGAAUGUUAUCACGGGAGACACACGGCGGGUGCUAACGUCCGUCGUGAAGAGGGAAACAACCCAGACCGCCAGCUAAGGUCCCAAAGUCAUGGUUAAGUGGGAAACGAUGUGGGAAGGCCCAGACAGCCAGGAUGUUGGCUUAGAAGCAGCCAUCAUUUAAAGAAAGCGUAAUAGCUCACUGGUCGAGUCGGCCUGCGCGGAAGAUGUAACGGGGCUAAACCAUGCACCGAAGCUGCGGCAGCGACGCUGAUGCGUUGUUGGGUAGGGGAGCGUUCUGUAAGCCUGUGAAGGUGUGCUGUGAGGCAUGCUGGAGGUAUCAGAAGUGCGAAUGCUGACAUAAGUAACGAUAAAGCGGGUGAAAAGCCCGCUCGCCGGAAGACCAAGGGUUCCUGUCCAACGUUAAUCGGGGCAGGGUGAGUCGACCCCUAAGGCGAGGCCGAAAGGCGUAGUCGAUGGGAAACAGGUUAAUAUUCCUGUACUUGGUGUUACUGCGAAGGGGGGACGGAGAAGGCUAUGUUGGCCGGGCGACGGUUGUCCCGGUUUAAGCGUGUAGGCUGGUUUUCCAGGCAAAUCCGGAAAACUAAGGCUGAGGCGUGAUGACGAGGCACUACGGUGCUGAAGCAACAAAUGCCCUGCUUCCAGGAAAAGCCUCUAAGCAUCAGGUAACAUCAAAUCGUACCCCAAACCGACACAGGUGGUCAGGUAGAGAAUACCAAGGCGCUUGAGAGAACUCGGGUGAAGGAACUAGGCAAAAUGGUGCCGUAACUUCGGGAGAAGGCACGCUGAUAUGUAGGUGAAGUCCCUCGCGGAUGGAGCUGAAAUCAGUCGAAGAUACCAGCUGGCUGCAACUGUUUAUUAAAAACACAGCACUGUGCAAACACGAAAGUGGACGUAUACGGUGUGACGCCUGCCCGGUGCCGGAAGGUUAAUUGAUGGGGUUAGCGCAAGCGAAGCUCUUGAUCGAAGCCCCGGUAAACGGCGGCCGUAACUAUAACGGUCCUAAGGUAGCGAAAUUCCUUGUCGGGUAAGUUCCGACCUGCACGAAUGGCGUAAUGAUGGCCAGGCUGUCUCCACCCGAGACUCAGUGAAAUUGAACUCGCUGUGAAGAUGCAGUGUACCCGCGGCAAGACGGAAAGACCCCGUGAACCUUUACUAUAGCUUGACACUGAACAUUGAGCCUUGAUGUGUAGGAUAGGUGGGAGGCUUUGAAGUGUGGACGCCAGUCUGCAUGGAGCCGACCUUGAAAUACCACCCUUUAAUGUUUGAUGUUCUAACGUUGACCCGUAAUCCGGGUUGCGGACAGUGUCUGGUGGGUAGUUUGACUGGGGCGGUCUCCUCCUAAAGAGUAACGGAGGAGCACGAAGGUUGGCUAAUCCUGGUCGGACAUCAGGAGGUUAGUGCAAUGGCAUAAGCCAGCUUGACUGCGAGCGUGACGGCGCGAGCAGGUGCGAAAGCAGGUCAUAGUGAUCCGGUGGUUCUGAAUGGAAGGGCCAUCGCUCAACGGAUAAAAGGUACUCCGGGGAUAACAGGCUGAUACCGCCCAAGAGUUCAUAUCGACGGCGGUGUUUGGCACCUCGAUGUCGGCUCAUCACAUCCUGGGGCUGAAGUAGGUCCCAAGGGUAUGGCUGUUCGCCAUUUAAAGUGGUACGCGAGCUGGGUUUAGAACGUCGUGAGACAGUUCGGUCCCUAUCUGCCGUGGGCGCUGGAGAACUGAGGGGGGCUGCUCCUAGUACGAGAGGACCGGAGUGGACGCAUCACUGGUGUUCGGGUUGUCAUGCCAAUGGCACUGCCCGGUAGCUAAAUGCGGAAGAGAUAAGUGCUGAAAGCAUCUAAGCACGAAACUUGCCCCGAGAUGAGUUCUCCCUGACCCUUUAAGGGUCCUGAAGGAACGUUGAAGACGACGACGUUGAUAGGCCGGGUGUGUAAGCGCAGCGAUGCGUUGAGCUAACCGGUACUAAUGAACCGUGAGGCUUAACCUU
rnacentral:rRNA from 1 species